rnacentral:rRNA from 1 species
GAAGCUGGAAUCGCUAGUAAUCGCAGGUCAGCAUACUGCGGUGAAUACGUUCCCGGGUCCUUGUACACACCGCCCGUCACACCAUGGGAGCCGGAAAUGCCCGAAGCCAGUGACCCAACCUUAGGGAGGGAGCUGUCGAAGGUGGAGCCGGUAACUGGGGUGAAGUCGUAACAAGGUAAC